AUUGAACGCUAGCGGCAUGCUUUACACAUGCAAGUCGAACGAGUGGCGGACGGGUGAGUAAUAUAUCGGAACCUGCCCGAUGGAGGGGGAUAACUACUGGAAACGGUGGCUAAUACCGCAUACCAUCGGAUCUGCCGAUAUGGGAUUAGCUAGUGGGUGGGGUAAAGGCUCACCAAGGCGACGAUCCCUAGCUGGUCUGAGAGGAUGACCAGCCACACUGGAACUGAGACACGGUCCAGACUCCUACGGGAGGCAGCAGUGGGGAAUAUUGCACAAUGGGGGCAAGCCUGAUACAGCCAUGCCGCGUGUAUGAAGAAGGCCUUCGGGUUGUAAAGUACUUUCGGCGGGGAGGCGUUACCCGCAGAAGAAGCACCGGCUAACUCCGUGCCAGCAGCCGCGGUAAUUC
rnacentral:rRNA from 1 species